rnacentral:rRNA from 1 species
GAUGAACGCUGGCGGCGUGCCUAAUACAUGCAAGUCGAGCGAACAGACGAGGAGCUUGCUCCUCUGACGUUAGCGGCGGACGGGUGAGUAACACGUGGAUAACCUACCUAUAAGACUGGGAUAACUUCGGGAAACCGGAGCUAAUACCGGAUAAUAUAUUGAACCGCAUGGUUCGAUAGUGAAAGACGGUUUUGCUGUCACAUAUAGAUGGAUCCGCGCCGCAUUAGCUAGUUGGUAAGGUAACGGCUUACCAAGGCAACGAUGCGUAGCCGACCUGAGAGGGUGAUCGGCCACACUGGAACUGAGACACGGUCCAGACUCCUACGGGAGGCAGCAGUAGGGAAUCUUCCGCAAUGGGCGAAAGCCUGACGGAGCAACGCCGCGUGAGUGAUGAAGGUCUUCGGAUCGUAAAACUCUGUUAUUAGGGAAGAACAAAUGUGUAAGUAACUAUGCACGUCUUGACGGUACCUAAUCAGAAAGCCACGGCUAACUACGUG